rnacentral:rRNA from 1 species
AUUGAACGCUGGCGGCAGGCCUAACACAUGCAAGUCGAGCGGAUGAAGGGAGCUUGCUCCUGGAUUCAGCGGCGGACGGGUGAGUAAUGCCUAGGAAUCUGCCUGGUAGUGGGGGAUAACGUCCGGAAACGGGCGCUAAUACCGCAUACGUCCUGAGGGAGAAAGUGGGGGAUCUUCGGACCUCACGCUAUCAGAUGAGCCUAGGUCGGAUUAGCUAGUUGGUGGGGUAAAGGCCUACCAAGGCGACGAUCCGUAACUGGUCUGAGAGGAUGAUCAGUCACACUGGAACUGAGACGCGGUCCAGACUCCUACGGGAGACAGCAGUGGGGAAUAUUGGACAAUGGGCGAAAGCCUGAUCCAGCCAUGCCGCGUGUGUGAAGAAGGUCUUCGGAUUGUAAAGCACUUUAAGUUGGGAGGAAGGGCAGUAAGUUAAUACCUUGCUGUUUUGACGUUACCAACAGAAUAAGCACCGGCUAACUUCGUG